CAUUUCAUAUUGUAACUAUCAUUUUUUGUAUGUCUGUAUUUAAUGUUGUGUCCAGGUUUCCAAAGGACCAUUUUGUGGUGUCUCUGUAUUUCAUCCUCGAGUCCCCCUUCAAUUUUAAUGAGCAUACUGUCCAAAGUGGUUUUGAAGUUCCAGAAACGCCUACCUUUCAAAAUCCAGAUAUUUUAAAUUCCUCUUUAGAAUGACAUGCCAGCUUUGAGGAAGUGCUGGUGUAGAAUGUUACUUGAGAACUCC